rnacentral:rRNA from 1 species
UACAGAGGGGGCAAGCGUUGUUCGGAAUUACUGGGCGUAAAGGGCGCGUAGGCGGCCUGCUAAGUCGAACGUGAAAUCCCUGGGCUCAACCCAGGAACUGCGUCCGAUACUGGUUGGCUUGAAUCCGGGAGAGGGACGUGGAAUUCCAGGUGUAGCGGUGAAAUGCGUAGAUAUCAGGAGGAACACCGAUGGCGAAGGCAGGUCUCUGGGCAUUAACUGACGCUGAGGAGCGAAAGCAUGGGGAGCGAACAGG